rnacentral:rRNA from 1 species
UACGAAGGGGGCUAGCGUUGCUCGGAAUCACUGGGCGUAAAGCGCACGUAGGCGGCUUGCUAAGUCAGGGGUGAAAUCCUGGAGCUCAACUCCAGAACUGCCUUUGAUACUGGCGAUCUUGAGUCCGGGAGAGGUGAGUGGAACUGCGAGUGUAGAGGUGAAAUUCGUAGAUAUUCGCAAGAACACCAGUGGCGAAGGCGGCUCACUGGCCCGGUACUGACGCUGAGACGCGACAGCGUGGGGAGCAAACAGG